rnacentral:tRNA from 8 species
UGGGAUAUAGCCAAGCGGUAAGGCAACGGACUUUGACUCCGUCACUCGUGGGUUCAAAUCCCGCUAUCCCAGCCA